AUAGCAGUUAACCAUCAAACUCCAAGUGAUGCUGUCCCUCUGAGGCAUUUUAUCGAACACCUUGCGUGCACACUGAAAUCAAAACAGCACAUUUUUUUUUUGAUAGGCUCAAAACAGCACAUUUACACAACAAGGAGUCAUCCAUUUGAACAAUCACAUGAAAUGUAGACAGUUAACAAGAACACCGUAGACGUGCAGUUCUUUUUCUUUAUUGACCUUUUCAUGGAUAAUUGAUUUAUGUUUGAUCACAAAUACAAUACGGUUCGAAUCGAGAAAUCAGAAGAACUAGGGCAGAGAGACAGAGAGAGAGAGAGAGUUAUCGGAGAUUUUGAUUACGAUACCUGAGAGGAUAAGCGAAGCCCUAGAUUCGCACAGCGGCAGACGACG
rnacentral:lncRNA from 1 species